rnacentral:rRNA from 1 species
UACGGGGGGGGGCAAGCGUUGUUCGGAAUUACUGGGCGUAAAGGGCGCGUAGGCGGCCUGCUAAGUCGGAUGUGAAACCCCUCGGCUCAACCGGGGAACUGCAUCCGAUACUGGCGGGCUUGAAUCCGGGAGAGGGAUGUGGAAUUCCAGGUGUAGCGGUGAAAUGCGUAGAUAUCUGGAGGAACACCGGUGGCGAAGGCGGUUCUCUGGGCAUGUCCUGACGCUGAGGAGCGAAAGUGUGGGGAGCGAACAGG